ACGUUUAUAAUAUUAUAGACGUCGGGGCACCCCACAACGGACGUCUAAAGGGCUGACAGGGUACUUUAAGAGUUUAUUUUUUCAGCCACUUAAAUGUCCGUUAGAGGGGCCUCGACGUUUAUAAUAUUAUAGACGUCGGGGCCCCCCCACAACGGACGUCUAAAGGGAUGACAGGGUAGGUGAGGAGUUAUUUUUUUCUACCCUUUAGGCGUCUGUUGUGGGGGGGCCCUGAUGUCUAUAAUAUUAUAAACGUCGGGGCCCCUCUAACGGACGUCUAAAUGCCCCGCGAAUAUGAAUAUUUAAAUCAGAAAGACGUCAGAUUAGUUAGAGCCCCGACGUCUACUGCCAUUUAUACUAAAAUCGCGAACUCGCGAGGAGUUACGCUCACUGUUCAUCGUCUUCCCCACGUUUUUUCUCUGCGGCAUUGCAUUUCCAAGUGCGUUUUCUCUCUUUUGGGCCUAUUAAAUUUACUUUUACUCCGAUUAAAUUACUCUUUGAUGAAAUAUCUUUUAUUUGAACCGAUUAAAAAUCGUUUUCGGUGCGUUUUGGUGCAGUUUCUGGCAUGUUCUUGGGCGACGUUUUUUACUCUUUUUAGCCUACAUUUUAGGUCGUGCACUCCUCCAUUUCCCUUGAUUUCUUUUUGAAUCUGUUAAAAAUGUUAGCUUCUUUGUUGGUAAUUUUUUUGUAUGCAUGUUAUUGGCUUUUGUGUUUACAUUUUAUUGGCUUUUGUCUAUGCAUGUUUUUUACUUUAAGGUCUGCAUGUGUUAUUGGCUUUUGAAUAUGCAUGUGAUAGUUGUGUUUUUAUAAUUGGCAUGUUAGAUUAUAAGUAUCAAAUCAUUGAGUGAAACUUAGUUCCCGUUUGAAAUUUAACACAAACGAUUAAUCUUUUAAUCGUUUGCAUUAAAUUUUGAAUUGUCCGAUUGGACAAUUUGAGAAAAUUAUUUUUCAUAAUUUGCAAUAACAUGUACGUUGGAGUUUAUGGAUAAGAUUGAUAAAAUUUCGGUUCAAUAUUUGUUGUUCUCCGGAUGCAUAUUUGAUUGUGGUCAUCCUUGACUACUCUCAUUUCGUGUAUUUCGGAGACCAAUGCGAAAUGCUGCCGAAAUCUUAUCAAAUUUAUGAUGUAGACUUCUUUGCACGUGUCUUAGCAAAUUAUGAAAAAUAAUUUUUUUGAAUGGGUAGGGCCUAACCUUGUGAGAGUUAAAAACCUAAACUGAUGAUUUUACGAACAUAGUAUGGAUCGAAGCUGGAUGAAUGAACGUCGCAUCAGUAAAGAAUAUGAUAAGGGUGUUUCGGAGUUCUUGCAAUACGUUGAACAAAAUGCUAAGUCUGUGAACGGGACAUACUUUUGUCCUUGUGUUCGUUGUCUUAAUCAAAUACGGCAAGACUUAGGCAAUGUGCGUGACCAUCUAUUCAUGUUUGGCAUAAUGAGGACUUAUAACGUUUGGAAUUGGCAUAGUGGACCAGCCUACCACGUCACAAGGAACGAAUUAUGUGGAAGAAUGGAUGAGUGAUCAUUUAGAGGACAUGAUGCGUGAUGUCGGUGAAGAUAAUUUUGGAAGAGCUAAUUUGUAUGAUUCUCUUAUAAAUGAUUGACGAGAACAAGAACAAAAAGAAAUACAAAGAGCGCUUGAAGAGAAGCUGCAUUCCAUGACGUAGGGCAACAUGGGGCCCGCUGAAACUCCCACACCACCUCGUGUCAACACUAGAGGAUCAUGCUCUGCUGUAGAACCUACUCAGUAUAGCAGUCAGUAUGAGCUAUUGGUUGAUGGGGAUCCCCCACGCAUUGUGGCUGUCAGACGAGUGCUUGAGGGAGGGCAAACUAUUCAUGGUGUUCCCAUAUUACCCCACCACGUGCGUGUGAUGAUUGAUGAGGUUCGGGAUCCCCAGGCUUAGGUGCCUGUACCCACUCUAGAAAUUAAUUUUGUGAGGGAGGCCAUAGGAUCAUUUAUAGCCUGGCCUAGAGCAUUGAUCAUGUCACACAUCGCUACUCCACAGUUCACACAUCCUCAGAAGCAGUCGAUUCAUGAUACAGUCAUACAUGAAGAUGAUGACAUGGCUGAAGCGGAGGAUGAUCCUCUAUCAAAGCUAAUGACAAGAUUACCCAGGUUGAAGAGAGCAUCAUUAGAACUAUACUGAGAUUUUAGAGUAUUUGGUCUUCCCCCCAUGUGCCAGUAUAUAUCACAUUGCCUGAUGCAUUGCAGGUACAUGGACACAAUCGUUGUAGACCAAGGUUGGUCUUCCAUGUACAGAUUUGUUGAACCUCAUACCAUUCAACCUUCUGGUAACACACUUGAAAACAGACAACAUUAUUUGCAAACAUGGAUGGAUGAGUCAAAAAGAGACGUAUACCUUGUGUCAUACAUUGAUGGGUCGUACUGGCAGCUGAUGGUCAUCAUUCCCAAACAAUGUAAAUUAUAUGGUUUUGUUCGUUGCACAAGAAGAUGAAAAAUGACUUGAGAACCAUGUUUCAAGGAGUUAUUGGAAAAUCUCGAAGUCAACUAGUUCAAAUUUUGUAUCCAAAGUGUAACCAGCGGCUAGAUUCAUGGGAAUGUAGCUUCUAUGUCAUGUGUUGGAUUAAAACCAUCAUUCCAGCUGUCAUUACAGAUGACUGGAAUGAGUGCUUCAAGAGUACAUCUCCUAUACUAGAGGACAUAAUUAGGCAGAUAAGGUAGGAGUGGACAACUUAUCUUCUGGAAAGAUGGAGCUAGGAACACUUUUAUUUGUUGUUGAACAUUGCUUAGGUUUAGUUUAAGUUUAUAUCUUGAUAGUUUUGGUAUUGGAUUAUUUUUUACAUUAAGUAGAACUUUCUUUAUAUGAAACGCAUAUAUAUAUUAUACUAUAUUGUUCUAUGACAAUUUUCUGCUUUUUAGGUGUGGUUUUAUUGCAAAAAUAAAUUAAUUUAAAAAAAAAAAAACACCCAAUAGACGUCGGUUAGUGCACUAACGGACAUCUAUAGACGUUUGGCAGUGCCCAAACCGACGUCCAACCCCUAAACCCUAAACAAACCGUUUCAGGCCUAUGGAUGUCGGGGGGUGGUAACAUCCAAUGUCUACACAAACGUCGGUUAUAUCCCUUGGACGUCUACAUAGACGUCGGGGGUAUACCUCGAACGUCUAGAUAGACGUCGGGUCUGACCACAUCUGACGUCUAUACAGACGUCCGAGGUAUACCCCCGAUGUUUGAGUAACGUCACCCACAAAGACGUCGGGUACAGGUCGGACAUCG